rnacentral:ncRNA from 1 species
GGAAGGGCGACCGACCGUGGGGAGGAAGCGUGGAUCGCAACUGCGGGCCGAUGGACAAGAACCGGAUAUGAGGCGGUGCCGACCAGGGCGAGCGGGCAACGAACCGCGAAGCUCUCAGGCGCUCCUGCAAGUCCUGCAGCCGAUCCUCGAUCCGACCUUCAGCCAACACAGCUACGGCUUCCGUC